AAAAAAACACUAUAUACCACUCAUAUCAGUCUUGUGCUUUACCACCAAACACUACUUCUUCUUUUUCUUUUUCUUUUUGUUAUUUUUUCUCCCCCCACCACCGCCCUUCUUGCUGUUAUUUUUUAAAGAACA
rnacentral:ribozyme from 14 species